rnacentral:rRNA from 1 species
CCUACGGGGGGCAGCAGUGGGGAAUAUUGCACAAUGGGGGAAACCCUGAUGCAGCGACGCCGCGUGAGUGAAGAAGUAAUUCGUUAUGUAAAGCUCUAUCAGCAGGGAAGAAAAUGACGGUACUUGAGUAAGAAGCCCCGGCUAACUACGUGCCAGCAGCCGCGGUAAUACGUAGGGGGCAAGCGUUAUCCGGAUUUACUGGGUGUAAAGGGAGCGUAGACGGCAGUGCAAGUCUGGAGUGAAAGGCGGGGGCUCAACCCCCGGACUGCUCUGGAAACUGUUCGGCUGGAGUGCAGGAGAGGUAAGUGGAAUUCCUGGUGUAGCGGUGAAAUGCGUAGAUAUUAGGAGGAACACCAGUGGCGAAGGCGGAUUACUGGACUGUAACUGACGUUGAGGCUCGAAAGCGUGGGGAGCAAACAGGAUUAGAUACCCUAGUAGUC